rnacentral:rRNA from 1 species
ACUGCAGGCUGCAACUCGCCUGCACGAAGUCGGAAUUGCUAGUAAUCGUAGGUCAGCAUACUACGGUGAAUACGUUCCCGGGCCUUGUACACACCGCCCGUCAACCAUGAGAGUUGGCAACACCCGAAGUCGGUAGUCUAACCGCAAGGAGGACGCCGCCGAAGGUGGGGUUGAUGAUUAGGGUUAAGUCGUAACAAGGUAGC